rnacentral:snRNA from 1 species
AUAUAUGUUGUCGCUGGUUGU